rnacentral:lncRNA from 1 species
CUCCGGGGAAGAAUUCUUCCCCUUCCUUCUACUGGCUAUCCUUUUUCUAAUACAAUGAACAGCAUCUAAGCCAGGUUUCUGCCCCAUAUUUUGAGGCCCUGGAUGAACCAAGCCUGGAUAGCUGAGAAACAAACUCAGGUCCUAAGGCAGUCAUGUCCACCUUGCUGGCUUUCACAUCUCUAUACUUAAUCCUGGAGGAAACAGAAGAACACCUGUUUGAGCCAGAAUUCUUGUCAGGAGGACUUCUGGAUAGGAGGAUGAAUCAGCUUCAACCCUUUUCCUUGCUUGGGUCACUGCUCUCUACAAUCAGCUGGUACCUGGUCUGUUUGAAGAACAUCAUCACUGUGGCUGGAGCUGAGUGAGAAAGAGGAAAGUGGAAGAAGAUGGGGUCAGAGUGGUGUUGGGGACCAGGGCUUGCCGGGUCUCCUAGGCAAUUGAGACACACAGAAUGAAUUGUAGAUGUGAUGGCUGGAGUUCAAGCAGCCAUCUUGUGCCAUAAGAUGAAAACUACACACUGAGGAUGGUGGAGCAUCAAGAGAGAAGGAGCCUGAGUCUGUGAGGACUUCUUAAAGCUGCUCUGCCAGCCCUGGGCAUUCAAAUUUUUUAUAUAUGUAAAAGAAAAAUAAAUUCCUAUUUUGGUUAAACCCUUG